rnacentral:rRNA from 1 species
AACGAACGCUGGCGGCAUGCCUAACACAUGCAAGUCGAACGAGACCUUCGUAACUGGUUGCUCACGGGUGCGUAACGCGUGGGAACCUUCCCUUAUGUUCGGGAUAACUCCCCUAAGGGGGGGCUAAUACCGGAUAAUUUCUGCUAACCCAAGAUUUAUCGCGCUAGUAUGCGCCGGCGUUGGUUUAGCUAGUUGGUAGUGUAAAAGCCUACCAAGGCGACGAUCCAUAGCUGGGCUGAGAGGAUGAGCAGCGACGCUGGGGCUGAGAAACGGUCCAGACUCUUACGGGAGGCAGGAGUGGGGAAUCUUGGAAAAUCGGCGAAAGCAUGAAGCAGCAAUGCCGCGUGAGUGAUGAAGGCCUUAGAGAUGUAAAGCUCGUUUACCCGGGAUGAUAAUGACAGUACCGGGAGAAUAAGCACCGGCUAACUUCGUG